UAAGGAAUAUUGGCCAAUGGACGCAAGUCUGAACCAGCCAUGCCGCGUGAAGGAUGAAGGUCCUCUGGAUUGUAAACUUCUUUUAUCUGGGACGAAAACGGGAUUUUUAUCUCAAUUGACGGUACCAGAGGAAUAAGCACCGGCUAACUCCGUGCCAGCAGCCGCGGUAAUACGGAGGGUGCGAGCGUUAUCCGGAUUUACUGGGUUUAAAGGGUGCGUAGGUGGGCUUAUAAGUCAGUGGUGAAAUCUCCGAGCUUAACUUGGAAACUGCCGUUGAUACUAUAGGUCUUGAAUUAUCUGGAGGUAAGCGGAAUAUGUCAUGUAGCGGGGAAAUGCUUAGAUAUGACAUAGAACACCAAUUGCGAAGGCAGCUUACUACAUAUAAAUUGACGCUGAGGCACGAAAGCGUGGGGAUCAAACA
rnacentral:rRNA from 1 species